GUUUAAACUUGAUGUUUUAAAGUCUUGAAAGGAGCAAACUGGAGUGUUUAAAGUAAGAAAAUCAAGAAAAAGAAACAGAAAGGGUCUUCGGUGUUUCUCACAGGGCUUCAUUGUUUCUGAAAUGUAAACAUUCAGCACAGCUGCGGUACGGGACCUCGUACCUUACCCCGAGUUUCCUGGACAGGCACGAACACACCCUCACAUGCACGCUCACGCUGAUUCAAACAAAUGCAAGUAAGGUCAGCAGAGCUAAUUUUAGACUGCGUGGUUAAUCGCUGCGCCGAAGCCUGCCUCUUUAAAGCCUGGCUCCACGCUCCAGUUCACGCACUUAACUGCAGAGACCAGACAUCCCUCUCUUUAUCUCCGAGUUACAGACCAACAGCCACUGAAGAAUGAAGCGCAGACGACUGCUGUCCUUGCCGCUUUUACCCACAAUAACUGAAGCCCUGGAGGACUUGCCGGCCCAUCCCUCCUCCUCCCAGUCUUCACAAGGUGCCCACUCCCUGAACGACUACAUGACAAGCAUCCAGGCUCUGGCACGUCCUGUGGGGGUCUUCAGCUGCGGCCCUGUCAGGUUACAGCGGUCGCCAAGGCUGCGGCAGUUCUCCAAGCCUCAGAUGAAGUUGCCUUCCUCCAUUUCCCGCGUGUCCCCUCUCACACAAAGGACUUCAAGAACAUGCAGUCAAAGUCUGAGCAGGACUGAGGAUUUUUCCCUCCCGAUGAGGAGAGAACAAGACUGUAAGGGCAAAGACCCUGUUGACUGGCUCUUUGGCCAAAUGCUGGAUUAGACAGAGACUGCUGGCUGAAAAGCCUCGUGGGUAUUGUGUUGGAAAAACAUCUACUGCUGGAUUAACCUCACAACAAUGUGAACGGCGUGUGGUGAAAAUCCACAUUUAUUCCUGUCCUAUUCGAACUCAGGUCUACAUGUUUACAUGUUUAUAGAGAUUAUUUUGUUAAGCUGUGAAGCAUCAUGUUUCUAAUAAAAUGCAAAUAAGAAAAUA